rnacentral:rRNA from 1 species
GUGUCAGCAGCCGCGGUAAUACGUAGGUGGCGAGCGUUGUCCGGAUUUACUGGGCGUAAAGAGCGCGCAGGCGGUCGUACAAGUCGCGUGUGAAAUCCCCCGGCUCAACUGGGGUGGGUCACGCGAUACUGUUCGACUCGAAGGCAGGAGAGGGAAGCGGAAUUCCCGGUGUAGUGGUGAAAUGCGUAGAUAUCGGGAGGAACACCAGUGGCGAAGGCGGCUUCCUGGCCUGUUCUUGACGCUGAGGCGCGAAAGCUAGGGGAGCAAACGGGAUUAGAUACCCGGGUAGUCC